rnacentral:rRNA from 1 species
GAUGAACGCUGGCGGCGUGCCUAAUACAUGCAAGUCGAGCGAACAGACGAGGAGCUUGCUCCUCUGACGUUAGCGGCGGACGGGUGAGUAACACGUGGAUAACCUACCUAUAAGACUGGGAUAACUUCGGGAAACCGGAGCUAAUACCGGAUAAUAUAUUGAACCGCAUGGUUCAAUAGUGAAAGACGGUUUUGCUGUCACUUAUAGAUGGAUCCGCGCCGCAUUAGCUAGUUGGUAAGGUAACGGCUUACCAAGGCGACGAUGCGUAGCCGACCUGAGAGGGUGAUCGGCCACACUGGAACUGAGACACGGUCCAGACUCCUACGGGAGGCAGCAGUAGGGAAUCUUCCGCAAGGGGCGAAAGCCUGACGGAGCAACGCCGCGUGAGUGAUGAAGGUCUUCGGAUCGUAAAACUCUGUUAUUAGGGAAGAACAAAUGUGUAAGUAACUAUGCACGUCUUGACGGUACCUAAUCAGAAAGCCACGGCUAACUACGG